CUUUUCCGGGGCCACUGGUGAAAAGAAAUGGGUUUCCUGCACUUGAACUCUCUUUCCUGCAGCCCAGAGUACCUGCUUGUGAAACACUCGGUUACCCAGCUGUCUCUGGUUUUUAAAUCCAGAGGAUGUUGCUGAUUGAAAUUAUUGACUCCAAAAGUUGUGGUAGCCAGCCUCGUACCUGACUGCUUUGGGGCCUUACUCCAGUCUCAUAACUUCUCAAUAUUGUCACCAUCAAUUGAAUGUGAAGGGAUCCUGAAAUCUAAAGUUUUGAGAACCACAGUUCUAGGCUCUUCUCUGAUGUCUUAAUUUCCCAACCGGAUUGGCUGUCCUAUAUCGUCGGUCCUGGGUGCACUGAAGCACUACACUUUACGCUCCUUGAGCAGGCAAGCUCAUGGAUUGGCUGCUAAUAUUAGCCUCAUCCCUUGGUUUGUUCAAUCUUAUUUGAAAGGCUGAGAUUCCACAGGACAUCCAUAGGCUCUAAGGUCAUUUGAAAGCCAAUGGUCAAAAAAUUGCAUAUCCUCCAAUGUUUUAGAAUGGUUUCUAAAGAUU